rnacentral:rRNA from 1 species
UACGGAGGAUCCAAGCGUUAUCCGGAAUCAUUGGGUUUAAAGGGUCCGUAGGCGGUCUUAUAAGUCAGUGGUGAAAUCUCCCCGCUCAACGGGGAAACGGCCAUUGAUACUGUAGGACUUGAAUUAUUAGGAAGUAACUAGAAUAUGUAGUGUAGCGGUGAAAUGCUUAGAGAUUACAUGGAAUACCAAUUGCGAAGGCAGGUUACUACUAAUGGAUUGACGCUGAUGGACGAAAAGCGUGGGGUAGCGAACAGG